rnacentral:rRNA from 1 species
AUGUGUGCUUCGAAGAGGGAUGGAGGAAUGGGUUUCCGAGAUCCAGAGGCAUUCAAUCAAGCACUGUUAGCUAAGCAAGCAUGGAGACUCAUUCAACAACCUAACUCCCUGUGUGCCCGUCUGCUCAAGGCUCAUUACUUCUGUGCAGACUCAAUCAUGUCAGCUACAACACCGGUGUCGGCCUCAUACACUUUUCGAAGCAUUCUUUGGGGAAGGGACCUGCUACGGGAGGGUCUCAUUUGGCGUAUUGGGAAUGGAUGUGCUAUAAACAUACACCACGAUAAUUGGAUUCCACAAGCAGGUAGCAUGAAACCUCUUGGACAACUUUAUGUUACUGGUAUAACCAAGGUAGCUCACUUGUUAACAUCGGAUGGUAGUAGCUGGGAUAUGGAUAAAGUACAUAUGAUGUUCUCUGAGGAUGACACAAAGGAUAUCCAGCAAAUAGCGAUCGGGAGCCCGAGAUGUGAGGACUAUCUUGCUUGGAACUUCACGCAUAACGACGUCUUCUCGGUAAAAUCUGGAUAUCACUUGCGGAAGGUAUUGGAUAAUGCAAGGACCGGACAGCCAGAGGCCUCGAGUUCAGUUGAGAAGCAUAGAGGAUACAUGGUGUUAUGGGACAACAAUGCACCACCAAAGGCUAAAACUCACAUGUGGAGGUGGAUUUAA